CUGCUACAAAAAAAUUCUAUAGAUAUGUUUAUUCUGAUUAAAGAAAACUCUACGCUUUCAUCUCAGAAAAAAACUGGUCUUUUAAGUUAAAUGUCUUUUUUUUUUUUAAAGAGGACUACUGCCAGCUGUUGCUUAAGCAGCAUUUAUUAAGAGAAACCAAUUCAGUCUCUGCUUUCAUACAGCACUGCUGAGAUAAAGACCACAUCUACAGUUCAACUUCCAGGCUAUCUAAAUGGGUUUACCAUAAGAAGAAGCAAUUACACUGCAGAAAAAUUCUCUUUACCUUUUUGGUAACUGGCCAAAGAAACAAAGACUUUGCAUUUUAUCAAGAUAACUUCAUGUGGUCUUUAUUAGAUUUUUGAUUGGUUGGGGAAACUGAGCUUUGUAAGGGUUAAGAUUUUUAAAAUCCAUGUAACUUUCUGUAUUGCUUUUGAAGUCUUUUGAUUAUUACUCUGGUUAAAAUAAAUAAUAAUAAUAAAAAAG
rnacentral:lncRNA from 10 species